GAUCGUCCCCCUCCCGCACACGAGAAAAGUGCUCUCGUCCGCCCUCCCAUACCGUUUUCUUCCCCCUCUCUUCGCUCUAGUUUUUUGCUUACACCAGAUCAGAUCCCGCCACCACCGGCAUGACUGCAUCCAAGCAAAGCCCCCUCUCUCAUGCACCCAUCGCCCUCCCUUGUUCUCUCUCGCUCAUGCGGCCGCCACCACCACCGACUCCUUCUCCCGUGAUCUCACGCUCGCCGCCGUCGAAGCCUUUCUUUCCCUCCCUCUCGCACACUCACCGGUGAGAUGGAGCCAACCUGUUAAACUGGAGGAGAUCUCUAUCGCGAGUCUGUGCGACCCAGUCAGACAUCGCCACGAUCAGCUCUCAUGGGCAUCAUGCACGGGAGGAUCACCAAUCUGGCAGACUUCUGGUUGUUCUAGCAAACAAGGUUGGAUGCGCCGGGAAGAUCAUCUUGGAGCAGCCCCAGUAACUCUUGCAGGGACGAGCGAAGCUCUGCCUAUGGCAAGGCAGGACGUACCUUGAUUCUGGGAAAUUUUUUGUUGAAAAUGGACAGGCUGGUCGCUGGGAUGGUUUGGGGUUCCACUGCUGGGCAAAUAGAGUACGCGAAUGAGUCUGCCAUCCUCCUACGCCUCCUCGAGAUGGACAACACGGUUUGGUUUUCAGUUCACAUUUGUAGCUUGAUUUCUAAUCCAUGUGAAUUUCUGUAUAAUUUUUUUCUGCAAAAUUGUCCACAUGGACCACAUCUAUCCAAAUCAUGAUGAUGAUUAUGGUACUUGUGUUUCUUGAUUUUUUUAGAACAAGAUUUGGGAGUAUUUCCACUACAUGACGAGUCUGCUGUUUGUUUGAUGAUCAACUCAACCUGCUACAUGCUGAUUCUUUAGCUAAACCAUAUUAUCUCAUCGCGAGUUAUAGUUGAUUCGUUAGUUAAACCAGCUAGACGGUGAUUAAUUAAAUCAAUCUGCCACUUGACCUGUCUAUGGUUCAGCGAUGGUAGAUGCAUGUUCCGUGGCAAAUUUUAGCUAGCUAGGAAACUACUUAUGCCAAUAUGGGUUGUUUGUUUUAUUUGGUACUUGCAGGCUGCAAACUUUGCUCUAUCAAAGGAGGCAGUAUUUGAUGGAAGGAAGUCUGGUCCCAGGGGCACAUAUGGACAGAUGCAUCUUGACUGCAUGUCCAUCAAAAACUUCACAAAGAAGAGCCAUAAAUCCACCAACAAGUUGGCCUGACGUCCACGCACUAGCACUGCCCUCCGACUGUGCGGCCUAAUCCAAGAAAAAGUAGAAACUCUGCACGAAGGAGGUGCACAUCGAUUCUGCGUUGGUAUAUUUCCUUAUGUAGCCUUUGUUCAGGUAAAUCAGACAAAGAUAUGGGGACUGUAGGUAGCCUCUCUUUUUACACAUCUCUGUUAUUAUUAGUAAUGAGUCUAACAAUGAACCGACUACAUCUCCAUCUUUUCAGCUUUGUUACCACAAAGCUUCUAAAAGGUCUGAUAUAUCAUGUCAAUAAUUUAAGUCUCCCAUUUUGAUUGCCCUGAUUUGCAAUUUGUGGGCGAGGGAUAGAGGAAAGUUCUUUUCUCAGUGCAGUUACAUUGUUGUCAGGUCCUACAUUCUCCUUUGAUUGUUCAAGCGAAGGUUCUAGAAAACAACAUAACUAUGUAUGUUGCUUCCUUUAGCUGUGGCUGACAGGUGGGAGGCGGGCACGCUAAACUCCCUUCCGAUCCAUACAAAUCCUACGUUGGAACCACCUUGAUGUUCUUUGUCCUCGAUCAUGUAUGUAUACUAUAGGAUCCUGAAGCCCCAAGUCAUCUUAGGUUCCGAUGAUUAUUUAGCAAUUGUAGGAAGACAUUGUUGUUUCUAUUAUGUGCACACCGUUGGCUAGGAGUUUUCCCACUAGAUCUGAUUAUUAGGAAGGAUAUAUAUUGUGAUUUCUUAAGUGCCUCAUUAUUGUUGGUGUUUUUUGCUUUGAAAUA